AACGCGAAAGUCCCGCAAGGGAUGAGUAGAGUGGCAAACGGGUGAGUAACACGUGGGUGACCUGCCUUCGAGCGGGGGAUAACGUCCCGAAAGGGACGCUAAUACCGCAUGACACCCUGCCUUUGAACAGGCGGUGAUCAAAGCUGGGGAUCGCAAGACCUAGCACUUGAAGAGGGGCCCGCGCCUGAUUAGCUAGUUGGUGAGGUAACGGCUCACCAAGGCGACGAUCAGUAUCCGGCCUGAGAGGGCGGACGGACACACUGGGACUGAGACACGGCCCAGACUCCUACGGGAGGCAGCAGUGGGGAAUUGUUCGCAAUGGGCGCAAGCCUGACGACGCAACGCCGCGUGGAGGAUGAAGACCUUCGGGUCGUAAACUCCUUUCGAUCGAGACGAACGGCCUCCGGGUGAACAAUCCGGAGGAGUGACGGUACCGAGAGAAGAAGCCCCGGCUAACUCCGUGCCAGCAGCCGCGGUAAUACGGGGGGGGCAAGCGUUGUUCGGAAUUACUGGGCGUAAAGGGCUCGUAGGCGGCCAACUAAGUCAGACGUGAAAUCCCUCGGCUUAACCGGGGAACUGCAUCUGAUACUGGAUGGCUUGAGAUCGGGAGAGGGAUGCGGAAUUCCAGGUGUAGCGGUGAAAUGCGUAGAUAUCUGGAGGAACACCGGUGGCGAAGGCGGCAUCCUGGACCGACACUGACGCUGAGGAGCGAAAGC
rnacentral:rRNA from 1 species